AAUCAACGCUGGCGGCGUGCCUCAGACAUGCAAGUCGAACGAUUAAGACUUCCUUCGGGAAGUGCAUAAAGUGGCGCACGGGUGAGUAACACGUAAGUAAUCUACCCUCGAGUGGGGAAUAACGUUCGGAAACGAACGCUAAUACCGCAUAAUGCAGCGGCAUCGCAAGAUGACAGUUGUUAAAGGAGUAAUUCGCUUGAGGAGGAGCUUGCGGCAGAAUAGCUAGUUGGUAAGGUACCGGCUUACCAAGGCUACGAUCUGUAUCCGGUCUAAGAGGACGGUCGGACACACUGACACUGAAUAACGGGUCAGACUCCUACGGGAGGCAGCAGUCGGGAAUUUUGGGCAAUGGGGGAAACCCUGACCCAGCAACGCCGCGUGAAGGAUGAAGUAUUUCGGUAUGUAAACUUCGAAAGAAUGGGAAGAAUAAAUGACGGUACCAUUUAUAAGCUCCGGCUAACUACGUGCCAGCCGCCGCAGUAAGAC
rnacentral:rRNA from 1 species